rfam:Equus caballus chromosome 9, whole genome shotgun sequence.
GGGGGUGUAGCUCAGUGGAAGAGCGCAUGUUUCGCAUGCAUGAGGCCCCGGGUUCGACUCCCGGCACCUCCA